ensembl:lncRNA
GCACCAGAGGUUAUACUAACAACCUUUAAGUGCAGAUCCUCUGACUCCAGAGAAGCGGUCGCCCCUGCAGACAUCAGAUGUGAGGAAACAGUCAGACAACAGCGAUUCAGCCUGUUAGGAACCUCUCGAAUGCGUUCCAGCAGAUUGUAGUCAGAUAAACAGUUCUCAGGGCAAAACUUCAAGCAGAGCACGCUCCUCGACGACCUCCUGAGGAGAGAAAAGAGGCGAGGAGAUGGGUUACUGCUUACACCUCCCAGUAUGGAGGCUGUUCUCUCAGUCUCUCCAUCCCGGCAUUGUUUUCAAUUUAGUUGUCUCCGUUCCUCAACGCGGCAGGCAGACAUGCUCUCCAGGGCAAGUAAAUGCUCGACACACCGCCGGGGUCCUCGGCAGAACGGCUGACCAGAGGAACAGCGCCCUAGCAGUUAAACAUAGGGAUUCACACUUGUCUGGUUCUGAGCUCGCUUCCAAUCUGGGUUUUGGAUACAAGUCAAAGAUAACAGCUGUACACGUUGAGGGAUCAGUGAACCCAGCUGACUCCCUGGCAGCCAGAACACCGGCAGGAACCAGCUCAUAAUUAGAAACGUUUUGGGUCAUCUUGAGGAGAAACGGAGAGAAGAGAGACAUGCAGGGAGAAUAAGAGGCAAGUAUGUAUAUAAGAAUAGAUGCACACUACUGCUCAGUUUCAUAGCAUGAAGAGCCCAAGCUGUCCUAUCUGUGAAAUUGGUGCCAAUGUCAAGAAAAAUCAGCUUUAAGGAAACAUACUCAUAUGCAGGUGUGCAUAAUAUAUAUUUAUUUUUUUUUUUACUUUUUUAUACCACAAUAGGAAAGAAAAGAUCUGUCACUGCUCCCGUAACAUCAUGACUUCAGUGUAAUUGUUUAACUACCUACAGUAAUAAAGAUUACCUUCAAGCUUUCA